rnacentral:rRNA from 2 species
AGGGGGCAAGCGUUAUCCGGAUUUACUGGGUGUAAAGGGAGCGUAGACGGUGCGCCAAGUCUGGAGUGAAAUGCCGCGGCUUAACCGCGGAACUGCUUUGGAAACUGGCGCGCUUGAGUGCGGGAGGGGUAAGCGGAAUUCCUAGUGUAGCGGUGAAAUGCGUAGAUAUUAGGAGGAACACCGGUGGCGAAGGCGGCUUACUGGACCGUAACUGACGUUGAGGCUCGAGAGCGUGGGGAGCAAACAGGAUUAGAUACCCUGGUAGUCCACGCCGUAAACGAUGAUGACUAGGUGUCGGGGGACCAAGGUCCUCCGGUGCCGCCGCAAACGCAUUAAGUAAUCCACCUGGGGAGUACGUUCGCAAGAAUG